AGUGAACGCUGGCGGCAGGCCUAACACAUGCAAGUCGAACGGCAGCACGGCAGUAGCAAUACUGUGGGUGGCGAGUGGCGGACGGGUGAGGAAUACAUCGGGAUCUACCCUGUUGUGGGGGAUAACGUAGGGAAACUUACGCUAAUACCGCAUAAGAACUGAGGUUGAAAGCGGCGGACCGCAAGGCGUCGCGCGAUUGGAUGAACCGAUGUCCGAUUAGCUAGUUGGCGGGGUAAAGGCCCACCAAGGCGACGAUCGGUAGCUGGUCUGAGAGGACGACCAGCCACACUGGAACUGAGACACGGUCCAGACUCCUACGGGAGGCAGCAGUGGGGAAUAUUGGACAAUGGGCGCAAGCCUGAUCCAGCCAUGCCGCGUGGGUGAAGAAGGCCUUCGGGUUGUAAAGCCCUUUUGUCCGGAAAGAAAGCAUUCGGUUAAUACCCGGGUGUUCUGACGGUACCGGAAGAAUAAGCACCGGCUAACUUCGUGCCAGCAGCCGCGUAAACAUAACUCG
rnacentral:rRNA from 1 species